UAAACAACAAACUUUCAUUUCCACACUUCUGGAGGCUGGAAAUCCAAGAUCAAGGUGCUGGACAAAUUGGUUCCUGCUGAGAACACUCUUCCUAGUUUGCAGAUGGCUGGCUUCUUGUUGAACCUUCACAUGAUGGAGAGCAGAGAGAAGAAGGAAGCUCUCCUGUGUGCCUUCUUGUAAGGGUACUGUCCCACCCAUAAGGACUUCACCCCAUGAUCUAUUUACUUCCCAAAGGCCCUACCUCCUAAUAUCAUCACAUUGAAGGUUAGGAUUUCAACAUAUGAAUUUUAGAAGGGAUACAAACAUUUGGUCCAUAACAUUUCCAUAUAGAAAAACAAAAGAUGAAUAGUUUAAGUAACUUUCCAAAGAUUGUAAAGUUGAUAGGUAGUAAGGUCAGGGUUUCAAUCCAGGUGAGGUUCAUUCUAAGGCCCAUGUGCUGAAAUGUUUUGCUAACCUGUCUCAGUACAAGUCAGAGAAACUAAUAGGAGUUAACUGACUAAUAAUUAGACUAUGCUCUCUUGUCUAAUAGAAGAGAAAACUAAUAUGACUUGAUUAUAACCUCAAAACAUAAAAGACAUUCUCCGGCAGGAGUUUGAUCGAUUGUUUUCCAUAUAAAAAAGAGCAAAACCAGAGAGAACAGUAUUGAAAUAGGGUUUAUGUCAGGCAGACAAAAAGAGAAACUCUUAAUUGUUAGGUUGGUAAAGCCCAAAAUCAGACACAAAGAGAGAUUGUGGAGUUGUAGUAUCUGAGGAUCUGUAAAAUGAUCAUUUUCAAUUCGAUUUCAACAGCCAUCUCUUUUAAACAGUUUGAAAUCCACCUGCCAGAAGGUGAGGGAAUCAGAACAGAUGUGCUCUCCAGGCUCCAAUCAGCAAUAAGAUCCUGUGUGGGAGACCAAUUAAACCCACAGGCAUACGGUGGAGCCAGCGAUUCUGUUUUAGAACAGACUAUGACCUCUCCCCGACCCAGAGGAUAGCCGCAUCAGCACUUACAAGCCAAAUGAAUUAAGGCCCUGUCAGCAGUGUUCCUUACAAUAAAAAGUAUAACAAUAAUAGUAAUAAAAAGUAUCAAGACAUAAACCCACAUAUAGGAUGGUAUCUGGAGCACCCCUGGUAUUCAUGCAAAUAAGGGAAAUGAAAAUUCAAGCAAAUUAAAUCUGAAAUAGCAAGAGGGGCUUUCCUUGAA
rnacentral:lncRNA from 1 species